GCACAGCAUUACUUUUGCAGGUCUUUUGUCCUUUAUGGCAAAAACAACAAGGAGUCCGGUGGCACCUUAAAGACUAACAGAUUUAUUUGGGCAUAAGCUUUCGUGGGUAAAAAACCCACUUCUUCAGAUGUCCUUUAUGGUAUAAGACUUUCUAGGUGUGGUAACUGUGUUGCACAAUGUGGACUUCCUGUAACAGAUUCUCUUGAUUAAAUAGGUGAUGGAGGUUUCCAAAGUGAGGCAAUCAGUUUUCUGAUUUAAUCCUCUAGACUUGCCUGGACUUGCAGUCAUUUGAGCAACUAACAAGCUUCAAACAUGGUCUAUUCCCAGCCUCAUGUUUACGCUACAAUUUUUGCUUUGUCUGUCCUUAAGGCCUGUGCUUUGGACAGCUACAUUGCAGCAGUGUAUGAGCACUCAGUUAUAUUGUCAGAGGACACCAAAAUACCUGUUUCUCCUGAAGAUGCUUUGAUGCUGAUGAACAAAAAUAUGGAUGUUUUGGAAGGGGCCAUCAAAGCAGCAGCCCUGCAGGGUGCACGUAUUAUUGUGACUCCUGAAGAUGGUAUUUAUGGCUGGGUUUUCACAAGAGAAACCAUUUACCCCUAUCUUGAGGACAUCCCAGAUCCACAGGUGAACUGGAUUCCAUGUACUGACCCUGACAGAUUUGCUCCUGCACCAGUGCAGGAAAGACUCAGCUGCAUGGCAAGGAGCAAUGUGAUCUAUGUGGUUGCCAAUAUUGGGGACAAGAAGCCAUGUAAUUCCAGUGAUCCCAAGUGCCCCAGCGAUGGUCACUAUCAGUAUAAUACUGAUGUUGUCUUUGAUUCAGAAGGGAAAUUGGUGGCACGCUACCAUAAGUACAACCUCUUUGUGACAGAAACUCAGUUUGAUUACCCUAAGGAGCCAGAGUUUGUCACUUUCAAUACAUCCUUUGGAAAGUUUGGCAUUUUCACUUGUGCGGACAUACUUUUCCAUGAUCCUGCUGUGGUCCUGGUGAGCAAGUUACAAGUGGAUACUGUGCUGUUCCCAACAGCUUGGGUGAAUACUCUACCACUUUUGUCUGCUAGUCAGUUCCACUCUGCAUGGGCUAUGGGAAUGGGCAUCAAUUUUCUUUCAGCGAAUACACGCAACUCCAGUUUAGAUAUGACAGGGAGUGGCAUCUAUGCACCAAAUGGACCCAGGGCAUUUCAUUACAAUACAGAAACAGAGAAUGGUCACCUCCUGGUUGCAGAGCUGAGUUCACACCCUCGUCUUUCUCCCACUUACCCUAUUGCUGUCAACUGGAGCUCGUAUGCCACAAGCAUCAAACGAUUCUCACCAGAUGACCGUAAUUUUAGCGGAGUCAUUUACUUUGAUAAGUUCACCUUCACUGAACUCACUAAGCCUGAAGGAAAUCGAACAGUUUGCCAGAAAGACCUUUGCUGUCAUUUGAGCUACAGGAUGGUGGAGAAGCAAGAAGAUGAAGUAUAUGUGCUAGGUGCUUUUGAUGGCCUUCAUGUUGUUGAAGGAGAAUACUAUUUGCAGAUAUGCACACUACUGAAGUGUAAAAGCACAAACUUGAAAACUUGUGGGCAGCCAGUGGCCACUGCUCACACCAGCUUUGACACAUUCUCUCUCAGUGGCACAUUUGGCACUAGCUACAUCUUUCCAGAAGUCUUGCUCACUGGGGUUCAACUGGCGCCUGGUGAAUUUCAGGUAUUAAGUGAUGGACGUCUGAUAAACCAGAAUGGCACUUCUAAAGCAGUCCUGUCAGUGACACUCUUUGGAAGGUGGUAUGAAAAGGACCCCCCACACCCACAACAGGCUUUCCCAUGAUGUGGCUAUUGAUGCUUUUCUCAGAAUAGGAACGUCCUGUGAUGUUAAUCUGUGUUAACUACAGUCAUUAUCUAGUAUCUUAUUUUUCAUAUUCUGCAAUCUAAAUAUAUCUGUCUAGUUAGUGCACGUUACAUUAUUGACAUGAUUCCAUUACAAAACCAAUUAAUUGGACAGCAGCUCUGCAUCUUUAUUAACUGUUAGCCUCUGCUUGCUACCGGCUUGAUUUUGCUGCCAUUCAAACUCAUAGAAAAACUUCCACUAACUUUAAUAUGGCGGGAUCCAGCUCUUUAUCAGCAGAUAUUGGCCUGAGCAACAAAACUCACUUUAGAACCUGGAUUUUUAUCCCCUUAAAACUUCUACUUUAGGAGUUGGGGUAAAGGUCACCUCUGGGAUUUUGUUCAGGCCCACAUCUAAACAAAACUGUUGAUAAAUCAGAGAUUCAUGUAAACUAUUCAUUAGAUCCAUUCUUCUGAGUUGUCAAUCCAAUACCUUCCAUGAGUACUGUAACACUGCUCUACAGCCAAAAUGCUUCUGAAAUAAAUGUAGUCAAACUUUACUAAUUCUGGGUCACUGAGAAUGAAAAUGAUGCUUAAAAUUGUUGAUUGGCUCUAGUUUUCAAGAUAUGCU